rnacentral:rRNA from 1 species
AACGAACGCUGGCGGCAUGCCUAACACAUGCAAGUCGAACGAGACCUUCGGGUCUAGUGGCGCACGGGUGCGUAACGCGUGGGAACCUGCCCUUAGGUUCGGAAUAACUCCCCGAAAGGGGUGCUAAUACCGGAUAAUGUCUUCGGACCAAAGAUUUAUCGCCUUUGGGUGGGCCCGCGUUGGAUUAGCUAGUUGGUAGGGUAAAAGCCUACCAAGGCGACGAUCCAUAGCUGGUCUGAGAGGAUGAUCAGCCACACUGGGACUGAGACACGGCCCAGACUCCUACGGGAGGCAGCAGUGGGGAAUAUUGGACAAUGGGCGAAAGCAUGAUCCAGCAAUGCCGCGUGAGUGAUGAAGGCCUUAGGGUUGUAAAGCUCUUUUACCCGGGAUGAUAAUGACAGUACCGGGAGAAUAAGCUCCGGCUAACUCCGUG